GGCCCGCGAAUACGCGUGGACCUUGUGGAACGCCGGGCCUCCCCGGGCGUCCCCGCUCUCUGGUAGUUGCCGGGAGACCCGGCCGGUGGGGAAGCCCGCGGAGCCGCAGCCCCGGCCCCGGCAGGUCUCUCUGGGCCCCGGGCCCGACUCCCACCUCUGCGCCGGCCCGCGGGCUUCGCAGGCCCUGCACUGCCGACCGGGCUGCGCUCAAGGCCGCCAGCCGCCCGCCGCCCUCUUUGUCCCCCCGCUGCAGGAAGGCCGCGGCACAGGGGGCGCCCUCCAAGCCGUCAGCCACGCACGCGGAGGCGCUCGGGCCUCGGGGCGGCGCACUGGGAGAGCACGCCGGGGAGGACACGUGGGCCUUGGCGCGGAUUUUAAGGAAACAGAGCAACAGCUACAACAAAAUGGGGAGAAGAAAUGAGAACUGUGCUAACAGCCUACGUGUGUCAAACAUCUCUCAGGAGAACUUAUCUCACUGGAAUUUGGAUUCAGAAGUACCUGUUUCUGAAAAUAAAAACCUCCCAGCUGGAAGGGAUGGAGCAGCAGGUGAACUAUUUGGAAAUUCCAGUGGAGCAACUGAUGCUAGAACCUAAUUUGUC
rnacentral:sRNA from 1 species